rnacentral:rRNA from 1 species
UGGGGAAUAUUGGACAAUGGGCGAAACCCUGAUGCAGCGACGCCGCGUGGAGGAAGAAGGUCUUCGGAUUGUAAACUCCUGUUGUUGAGGAAGAUAAUGACGGUACUCAACAAGGAAGUGACGGCUAACUACGUGCCAGCAGCCGCGGUAAAACGUAGGUCACAAGCGUUGUCCGGAAUUACUGGGUGUAAAGGGAGCGCAGGCGGGAAGACAAGUUGGAAGUGAAAUCCAUGGGCUCAACCCAUGAACUGCUUUCAAAACUGUUUUUCUUGAGUAGUGCAGAGGUAGGCGGAAUUCCCGGUGUAGCGGUGGAAUGCGUAGAUAUCGGGAGGAACACCAGUGGCGAAGGCGGCCUACUGGGCACCAACUGACGCUGAGGCUCGAAAGUGUGGGUAGCAAACAGGAUUAGAUACCCUGGUAGUCCACACCGUAAACGAUGAUUACUAGGUGUUGGAGGAUUGACCCCUUCAGUGCCGCAGUUAACACAAUAAGUAAUCCACCUGGGGAGUACGACCGCAAGGUUGAAACUCAAAGGAAUUGACGGGGGCCCGCACAAGCAGUGGAGUAUGUGGUUUAAUUCGACGCAACGCGAAGAACCUUACCAAGUCUUGACAUCCUGCGACGGUUCUGGAAACAGAACUUUCCUUCGGGACGCAGAGACAGGUGGUGCAUGGUUGUCGUCAGCUCGUGUCGUGAGAUGUUGGGUUAAGUCCCGCAACGAGCGCAACCCUUAUGGUCAGUUACUACGCAAGAGGACUCUGGCCAGACUGCCGUUGACAAAACGGAGGAAGGUGGGGAUGACGUCAAAUCAUCAUGCCCUUUAUGACUUGGGCUACACACGUACUACAAUGGCGUUAAACAAAGAGAAGCAAGACCGCGAGGUGGAGCAAAACUCAGAAACAACGUCCCAGUUCGGACUGCAGGCUGCAACUCGCCUGCACGAAGUCGGAAUCGCUAGUAAUCGCGGAUCAGCAUGCCGCGGUGAAUACGUUCCC